GGUAUUAAUUCUUGGCAUCGAUGGGAGCCAUGAGUUUUUUUUUUUGAUAUAGAUCAGAUAAUUAUUCAUCCAUAUUCAUAUUUAUUUUUUUAUAAAUAUAAAUAUAAAUAUUAAUUAAAUGUUUAAAUUUUUAUUUAUAUUAAAAUUAUUUUUAAAAUAAAAAGAAAUCUAGAUGGCUAACAUCUAUAUCAUUUUUACCGUUGAGAAUUUGGGAUAAUGGGGAGGGGAUGGCGAGGUUGACCGAAUCCACGUUGAUGUUGGCCUCCCCUCGGGCCCAGCUCUCUUGAGUCACGCGUCUUCCAACCGGCUCCGAGUCUUCGGUCUAAUAAAUUAGUUUAAAAGUAUUUUAUAUAAUGGAAGAUGCUAAUGGGGUCAGAGGAUCUUGUGUUUGCCAUCAUGACCAUCAUGCUUCAUGGAUUCUUGUCCUAUCAUUAAAGAAAGUUUUAUUGACUUGAAAACAAAAGAAGAAAAUACUGAGAUGCUUAUAAAUAUUUCUUAUCCAAAAUGCGCUGAAUAAGUAAGGAUUUCUAUUAUUAGAAUAUCAUUUUAAAACUUAUGAAAUGAAUUGUUUUGACAAAACAGCAUUAUCACUUAUCUCAAAAUAGAAUGUUGCAUAUGCAAUGUAUGUUAUUAUAAAGAAA
rnacentral:lncRNA from 1 species